GACAGAGGGUGCAAACGUUGUUCGGAAUUACUGGGCGUAAAGCGCGUGCAGGCUGCUCGGAAAGUCGGAUGUGAAAGCCCUGGGCUCAACCUAGGAAGUGCAUUCGAAACUUCCGAGCUAGAGUUCUGGAGAGGAAGGCGGAAUUCUCGGUGUAGAGGUGAAAUUCGUAGAUAUCGAGAGGAACACCGGUGGCGAAGGCGGCCUUCUGGACAGUGACUGACGCUGAGACGCGAAAGCGUGGGGAGCAAACAGG
rnacentral:rRNA from 1 species